CUUGUACUCCCUCCGUCCGAAAAUACUUGUCAUUGAAAUGGAUGUAUCUAGAUCUAUUUUAGUUCUAGACACAUCCAUUUUGAUGACAAGUAAUUCCGGACGGAGGGAGUACUUG
rnacentral:pre_miRNA from 1 species